UCUAUUUAUAUAGUUUAGAUAAAAACAUUACAUUUUCAUUGUAAAAUCAUAUUUCAAGUUUUGUA
rnacentral:tRNA from 2 species